UUAGCAGGUGCUGUUGGGGAGGCUGGGUUAGGGUGUGGCACUGGAGUGGAGACACAAGGUUUCAAAGCCCACUCAGCCAGAAAGCUCAACUGGGUCUGUCAACGUCUCUCUGCCUAGUCUAUUUCACAGAGCGGUUGUGCUGCUUAAAAGCAGUGAAGGAAAAGAGAAACACCACAUAUGCCAUCAUCGGCUCCUUGGAAGGGUGUCAGUGAGGCCCAUGUCUUGGGAUGUUGUCUUUUUAGAGAUAACAGCCUUCCCUCCAAGGAACAGAGUGUGCUACCAGGAUCCACUCUCUGAAGAGGCCUGUGUAAUUGCUGGUUCCUAGCGGCAGCGGCCUGCCUCACAUUGCAUCCACAACUUCUGCAAAGGGUAGUCCCUCCAGAUCAAGGUUUUGAUGAGAAUUAUGCAGGCAUCUUCCAUUUCCAGGUGUCCAAAGAGGAUCUACAAGGCAAGACCUCAGCCCAUAUGAAAGAAUUGCUUUCAAAACUCAAGGCUGUGGGACACAUUCAUGGGCAAAGGAAGGAUAUCACAGGAGAAUUCCAGCUGGUCCCUGGAGAUUACCUCAUUAUCCCUAGCACAGAGUUUCCACUGAAGGAAGGCAACUUUACCCUCCACAUCUUCACAGAAUCAAAACAUCAGUGUAUGACAGAAAAAUGAGCACUGGUGAAUUCCAAUGGCCCUCAACCAUGCAACUCAAGUUGGCAAGU